GAGUGCUUGCACUCUGUGAAACAAGAUACAGGCUAGCGGCGGACGGGUGAGUAACACGUGGGUAACCUGCCCAAGAGAUCGGGAUAACACCUGGAAACAGAUGCUAAUACCGGAUAACAACAGAUGAUGCCUAUCAACUGUUUAAAAGAUGGUUCUGCUAUCACUCUUGGAUGGACCUGCGGUGCAUUAGCUAGUUGGUAGGGUAACGGCCUACCAAGGCGAUGAUGCAUAGCCGAGUUGAGAGACUGAUCGGCCACAUUGGGACUGAGACACGGCCCAAACUCCUACGGGAGGCAGCAGUAGGGAAUCUUCCACAAUGGACGCAAGUCUGAUGGAGCAACGCCGCGUGAGUGAAGAAGGGCUUCGGCUCGUAAAGCUCUGUUGUUGGUGAAGAAGGACAGGGGUAGUAACUGACCUUUGUUUGACGGUAAUCAAUUAGAAAGUCACGGCUAACUACGUGCCAGCAGCCGCGGUAAUACGUAGGUGGCAAGCGUUGUCCGGAUUUAUUGGGCGUAAAGCGAGUGCAGGCGGCUCGAUAAGUCUGAUGUGAAAGCCUUCGGCUUAACCGGAGAAUUGCAUCAGAAACUGUCGAGCUUGAGUACAGAAGAGGAGAGUGGAACUCCAUGUGUAGCGGUGAAAUGC
rnacentral:rRNA from 1 species